AGCUAGUGCCCAGCCGAGAGACUUCCAUGGUGCACGAGCUGAACAGGUACAUCCCCACCGCUGCUGCCUUUGGGGGCCUUUGUAUAGGAGGCCUCUCUGUCAUGGCCGACUUCCUGGGCGCCAUCGGCUCCGGCACGGGAAUCCUCUUGGCUGUGACCAUCAUCUACCAGUACUUUGAGAUCUUUGUGAAAGAGCAGAGCGAAGUGGGGAGCAUGGGUGCACUGCUCUUCUAGAAAAUGCCAAGUCGACCAUGUGCAGCACCUCUAUACCGUGUCACUCUUGUGCGUUCCGUCUUUUUUUGGGGGGGGGGCAGUUUGCACUAUCAGUUCAUUUUGCAUUGGGGAUUAAUUAUUUGACACCUUUUGUCUCUCUUGCAUUGUCAAGAGACCCAUUUUGUUUUCUCCCUGCUUUGAACUUGGUAUUGUCGCCAGUCCAUUUCUUUUACGCCUUACCAUCACGGAGGGCUCGACUGGCCCACCAACUGUUUUCAUCAGCGGAAGAAUCCCUCAACUUGUGUGUGUGUGUGUGUGUGCGUGUGCGUGCGCGGUGCUGUCUUAGACUCACCUUGGGCAUUUUUCCACGAAGAACACUAUGACAAAACAUGAAUUCCAGGCAUUAAGAUGUCUCAAGGAAAGCCAUGUCAGUCAUUUGAUGGGGAGUUGUGAGCGAGAUGCGAUGAGUAUGAACAAAAUUUUCUUCUUUCUGUUAUCUGGGCAAGUUGCUCACAUUUACCCUUGACGUUUGUAUUCUCAAUGACGGACUGUUCAUAUUCACUCUGGUCCUCUGUUCUAUAGGUAGGACACAGUACGUUUGUCCUAUACCUCUGGCUGGUAAAGUAAAAUUGAUCGUCUGAACUGUCUUGCUCUUUCAUUCCCGGACUGAAUCACUGCACAAAACUGCACGGUGGGUCAGUAAGACGGUCGGUUUGAUAUGGAUGCAAAGCGGGGGUUCAUUUUGGUUUUUACUAUUAUGUAACAGACAUAACUGUUAUUAAAAGUUUUUUUUCCAACAAU